AUGCCAUGGUGAGGGCAUUGCCUAAGUAACUCCUAAAAUCUUUCUCAAGCUUCGAAAAUUUAUUCUUCAUUUCCUUGCCUAAAUAAGGUAAUUUCAUUUCUCAUCU